rnacentral:rRNA from 1 species
UACGUAGGGUCCGAGCGUUGUCCGGAAUCACUGGGCGUAAAGCGCACGUAGGCGGAUUUGCCAGUCAGGGGUGAAAUCCCGGGGCUCAACCUCGGAACUGCCUUUGAUACAGCAAGUCUUGAGUUCGAGAGAGGUGGGUGGAAUUCCUAGUGUAGAGGUGAAAUUCGUAGAUAUUAGGAAGAACACCGGUGGCGAAGGCGGCCCACUGGCUCGACACUGACGCUGAGGUGCGAAAGCGUGGGGAGCAAACAGG